CAAAAGCACGUCCCACUACCCCAUAAGAAUGUGUACUAAUCAAAGGGUAAAAGAAGAAAAACAACAAGAUAUCUGGAUACUUUUCCCAGCAUUUAAUGACUGAACUGCAGGUGGUUAAAAUGCAUUAGUGCACCAGGAGACAAUUAACAACUAUAUAACUACACAACACGCCUGAAUGGAAGGAAACAACAGAAGGAUUCUAUAACCAUAACAGAAGAAAGAAGGGACUAAAUGUCCUUACCACUUGGCUUUGGCACCAGAUGAG
rnacentral:misc_RNA from 1 species